AUGACAACUAAAUUUGAUAAGUAUUGGACGGACAUUCAAGAUCUCAUGGGGAUGGCCACACUUCUUGAUCCUCGGUACAAGAGGCAUAUGUUGACUGCUUGCUUUGCCAUGCUUCAUGGCAUUGAGCCAUCUUCUUAUGAGUGUUUGGAGCUGGUUGAUGCAUUAGUUGCUAGACUACAUUCAUUAAUAGAGGAGUACGAAGUGGAAAUGCUCAUAAAGGAGAUGCUAGCUUUUGGACUUGCCUUCAAGACAUUCAAGAGGGGAUGUAGGACUUGGCCGUUUGAGAUGUAG
rnacentral:rRNA from 1 species